CGCGGCCUAUCAGCUUGUUGGUGAGGUAAAGGCUCACCAAGGCAUCGACGGGUAGCUGGUCUGAGAGGACGAUCAGCCACACUGGGACUGAGGCACGGCCCAGACUCCUACGGGAGGCAGCAGUAGGGAAUCUUGCGCAAUGGGCGAAAGCCUGACGCAGCAACGCCGCGUGGGGGAAGAAGGCUCUAGGGUCGUAAACCCCUUUCAGCAGGGACGAAAAUGACGGUACCUGCAGAAGAAGCGCCGGCCAACUACGUGCCAGCAGCCGCGGUAAUACGUAGGGCGCAAGCGUUGUCCGGAUUUAUUGGGCGUAAAGGGCUCGUAGGCGGUUUGGUAAGUCGGGUGUGAAAACUCAGGGCUCAACUCUGAGACGCCACUCGAUACUGCCAUGACUAGAGUCCGGUAGGGGAGUGCGGAAUUCCUGGUGUAGCGGUGAAAUGCGCAGAUAUCAGGAGGAACACCAACAGCGAAGGCAGCACUCUGGGCCGGUACUGACGCUGAGGAGCGAAAGCGUGGGGAGCAAACAGGAUUAGAUACCCUGGUAGUCCACGCCGUAAACGUUGGGCACUAGGUGUGGGUCCCAUCCAACGGGAUCCGCGCCGCAGCCAACGCAUUAAGUGCCCCGCCUGGGGAGUACGG
rnacentral:rRNA from 1 species